rnacentral:rRNA from 1 species
UACGUAGGCAGCGAGCGUUGUUCGGAGUUACUGGGCGUAAAGAGUGCGUAGGCGGUUUUCUAAGUUUGGUGUGAAAGCCCCCGGCUCAACCGGGGAGGGUCAUUGGAAACUGGGAAACUUGAGUGCAGAAGAGGAAAGUGGAAUUCCAAGUGUAGCGGUGAAAUGCGUAGAGAUUUGGAGGAACACCAGUGGCGAAGGCGACUUUCUGGUCUGUAACUGACGCUGAGGCGCGAAAGCGUGGGGAGCAAACAGG